AAGUACGGGCCUAAUACUGCCUAAUAAACAUGGACGCGCCCAUGUUCGUGUUCUUAGAGUGAUGUGAUGCUAAUGUCGUUGUUGUUAGAGCUCCAGCAAAUAACAUAAGAUUGGACGUGUUGAAAUGAAUGAACACCGUGGCUCCAGUGGACGAGAAGUCCACCUCCUGAAAGACAUAUGCGUCGAUGCUCUUACUGGUUUCUCGGAGGUGGAAUGGUUUCGGCACAUGGUGCUGCCACGUUGCCUUGCCGAUUAUUACUACACCCGACUACAAAGGCGACGGUCGUUUAAGAAUCAUCUGGUACCUGUGGUGCUGCACGCCAAGUCCAUCGAAGCAGACUUGGCUGAGAGCCCCGUCACCGGAGCUGCCAUCGUUCACGUCAGAAAAUGCACGCAGCUGGAAAAGCUCACUUUUUCCUCGGUGCCUUCUGACAACUCGCUCUGUGAAACUAGCCUCCUGGAAACUGUCAGGUGCUUCCACAACCUGAGGUGGCUUGAACUGAGUGGUGUCAGUGCGGUGACUGACACCGUGCUUGCAGCCAUUGCAGAGCAGAACAAACUCCUCACAGUCCUCAAACUGAAUGAGUGUGUGAACUUCGGUGACGGUGGCCUCAAAGCACUGGGACGGAACUGCCGCUUCUUGCAAUGCGUCGACUUCUCAUCAACUCAGAUAACUACUCGGGGUUUGGACGCCUUAGCCAACAGUCCCUGCCGUCACACUAUAGAGGAGUUCCUUGCCAACCGAUGCAGUAAACUUGAAGCCAAGGCGGUUGAGAUACUCAUGACCAACUUCCCAUCACUGCGAAUACUGAGCUUGGAAGACUGCCGCCAGAUUCUGUUUGCGCCUGAGGCAGUGCCUGUAAGAAUGGAGAGGAAAGGCCAGUUAUCCUGGUUCGUCUUCUGCUGACAUUUGCUGAGAAGUCAGCCAUCUGGACGCAUUAUGGACAACAAAGCUUUUACAUCGAGGUUUAGCUAUGUUAGCAUCUCUUUAAAUUGUAUUACAAAGCACAGAGUCAUGCAAGAUCCUGAAGGUAUAGUCAUUAUGGUGGUCAAGUUAAGGGGCAGCUGCCAAUGAUAGGGAUAUGGCAGCCUUUGUGUUAUGCAUUUCAGACAUUAGAAGAAAGUUAUUUUGGCUGCCACUUCCUCAGAUUAGCAGAGGUCAUGAGCCUGUGCGAAAAUGUCCCCUGCCAAAGUGCUGUGGGUGCACACCCUGGAAGGCAGAGAAGGGAUAGCUCCCUCACCUUGCUUCUACCAGCAAGGCUUCUUCAUAUGCCCUUCAAUUGUCAACACUGCCUUUGUCAUGGCCACGUUGGUGAAUGAGGUGCAGUUCACUACGUCUGCCAACAGUAUUCAUCGUUGUUACUGGCCAUAACCUGACAUGGAACAGUCACCUACUGGUUUUAUUGCAGUGACACUUUCCAUAGAAGCUGUGGAUUUUAUAUAAUUCCUUCUUACAGCUUUUUGCUUGGACUGUUUAUAAGCGCUGUUUUUAUUAUAUUUUAUGAUAAUAAAAUUUGUACAAGUGA
rnacentral:misc_RNA from 1 species